GGAAGGUAGCUCAGUGACAGAGCACCUGCUUUUUGUGCAGAAUAUCCUGGGUUUAAUACCCAGCAGCUCCA